UUAGUUUAUUGCAGGCUUAAUAGCAAAACACUUUUUUUUUGUCAAUUAUUUUCUUCUCAAUUUCCCGAAAGAAAUGAUUAUCUAAACCGUGGAAGAGUUUCAAUCUCUAUCCGAAAUUGUUCUGUAGCUUUACACGACGUUUAUUCAGUACAUUCUUAUUAUAAACAACAAUAAAUUUUCUAGGACCUGCUGGAAAUCAUCUAUAAGAGAUUAUAAAAAGCGUGGCAGAAAGAAUACUUAAAUUUACAAAAUAAGCGGGAAUUCUCAAAUAUUUUCUAAAAAAAAUAUUUUUCAAAUUUUCAUUUCCCAUUUUUUUUAAAUUUAUUUUUAGUGUUCUUAGAAGAACAAAAGGGAAAAAUGUUUACCCAAAAAAAAUUGCAGCAUAAUUUUUGAAAGAUUUAUCACACAAAAAUAUGCAAACUAUUUUAUUGAGAAUUUCCAAUGAUUUUUUCCUGAAAAUUCUUCAAAAAUAUAUUCGAGACAUCCAGCUAGUAGUAGCUGUGAACACUGCAACACUGCCAAGAAAUUUAUCAAUUAUUUGUUACAAAAAUCUGAAAGUGUUUUUUUUAUGAUUCGUUAGAACAUUCAAAUAAAUUAACUUAAUACCAUGCCUCAAAAUUAUUCAUUGAGUUUUUUUUAUAGACUGUUUCAGAAAUUAUAAAUACACUUUGAUGAUUAAAUUAAAUGACCUGUUCUAAUGAUUUUUACCAACUUCUUCCAGAGUAUAGCAUAUUGUACUCCAUAUUUUCAUAUUUCCUUUCAAUUGUCUUGAUAUUUUAAAGAACAGUCGAGUUCUCUAACAAAUAACUUAAUUUUUCAAAUUUGCAUUUGCACAAAGGUGUUUUUUAAUGAUUUCAACAUUAUUUAUCACUAAAUACCAAAAAAUAUCUAAAUUUUUAUCACAUUCGCUUUCUCAACAAGUUGUCUAAGGAAUGCCUUGAUCAAAAUUUGGGAAAAAUCGAUAAAGGCAUUUCCACAACAUUUUUUCGGAGAUCAAGUUUCUUAUUUUUUAAGGUUUUCUACGGAACAUAAGAACUACCACACAGUUUCUAAGCUUUCCUGAACGCAUUUAAUCCAAACAAACUUAUUUUUUCAGCUCAUUCAAUCCUUCAGAUGGCAAAGCUUGUCAUACCAUAAAAACGAAUGCAGUAAGCAGUAAUUAAGACAUUCGUUUGCUUAACGUUUGUUGCUACUGAUGUUGUUGAGAAAUUUGAAACAAAAAAAUUUGUAUUGAGAAGGCUCGUAAUGGUGGUUCUUGAUCAAAUAUUCCAGUAAAAAUUACUCUUACCAAUCGAGAAAUAUCUUUUAUUAUCGAUACAGCAUUUUUUAUUGUGUUUGGAAAUGAAAUAUUUUAUCUGUGAGAUUUUUUUCUUUUCUACUAUGCUACAUUUUUUGACCACUUUGUGCAUUUUCAAAUUUCAAUCAUCUAGUUUACAAAGCCCUAUUUUUUAACUUUUACCAGAAACAUCAACAAAAUUGGUAUUAUUUGCUUCGCUAGCUUGUUUACUAUAAGAGCUAGAAGAAAGUUUUUUGGAUAUUGUGCUCAAAUUGAAAUGGCAGUUAAUCGUUAGUGUAUUUAUAAUUUCUGAAACAGUCUAUAGGAAAUUCUAUCAGAAAAAUAGCAGGAGUUAUAACUGAAACUUUACUAUGAGUUUUUACACAUUAACCCUCCUAGGAUGUUGGGAUUAUCGUAUCACGCUGGCGUUGUGCGCGUUCAGUGUCUGGGUCGUAUUGAGCCCAAUAUCCUAACAGGGUUAAAUUAAAACUCUUACUAUGUUUUCGAAUGAAUCUCGAAUUCGGAAAGAAAACCGCAACACAAUAACGAUAUUACUUGCAAAUUCAGUUAAAUUUUUGUCCAUAUUUAACUUCUUUGGGAAUGGCUUUCUCAACCAUUAAGUCAAGCCAAGUUUUUAAUACUGUUGAGAUGUUUGUCCAUGUUUCAUCCUCAAAUUAUUCCGAAAAUGAUACAAAAAUAUCCUUGAUGGAUGACGCCAGUGAAAUAACACAAAAAAAUUAAUUGUUUCUCAUUAAAAACGACAAAAAAAGAACAUUUUAGACGGAAUUUUACCAAAACAACUUUUUUUAGAAUUAGGAGUCAAACUAUUCUUUUCUCAAAUAUUUUCACACUUUUGGCCAGAAACAGAAACGGAUUUUGAAGAUAAUUUGAGUUUUGAAAUUAUGCGAUAACAAUUUAAAAUGUCCGCUAGUGCCGUCUAGUGUCUAGAAUGCACAGUUCAAAAGUUGUUUUUUAUACUUUGAAAUUUGGUAAAAAGCCAAAACAAAUUAUUCAAGAAAUCCUUAGUGAUAUAACUCGAGGAACUCCUUAAGGAAACUCGUAAAUAAUUCCCAGCGAAAUCCCAGUAUAAAAUACUUGAGAAACUUCAGCAAAUUCGAAGAGGAACCCCUCGCUAAGCCUGGACAACUAACAGAGGAAUCGUAGACAAAUCCCUACAGAAAUGCCCAGAUAAUUGUUUGAGUCGUUUCUGGAGAAAUUAUUGAAGGCAUACAUAGAUUUUUUUUAAUCCCAAAAGGGAUUCCCAGUAGAACUGCUGUAAGAAUCCAGAAUCUAGAAAAACUUCUAGAUAAAUUCUCGGAUAAAUUCACGGUGUAAUUCUAGGAGCAAUUAGUGGAAAAAUACCUAGAGAAAUCUCGGGAAAUAUGAGAAUUUUGUGGCAGUGGCUUAAUUUUCCCAACAGGGGAGAAAAAAAAAAAGAAUUUCUAUGCGGCUGUGGACACCAUAUCAUGUGAUUUUUGGUCCCUUUCUUAUAGACUGCUCAGGCCGAAAGAGACCAAAAAUCUGGAUACAUAUGUGAAGCAGUUCCGGUAUACAUUCCUGGAAAAUAUUAGCAAAAACCUCACAGAACUUCUUGAAGGAAACUCAACAAAAGCAUCUGGUGGUAUUACAGGAAUAAUUUCAGGAAUCAAAUUUAGAUAAAUAUCUGAAGUGAUUCUUAUAUAAAUCCCCGGAAGAAUUCCUGGACGGAUCUCAGCAGAAAUUUCUGGAGGAAUCGCAGUAAAAAUUUCUGAAGUAAUUUUAAGAGGAAUUCCUAAAAAAACGUUGGCAAAUCUCUAGCCAAAUUCCUGUCCAAGGCAAAGAAGCGCUUCAAUUAAUAACUGUGGUAGUGCUCAAAGAACACUAAGUUGAAGUGAGGCAGGCCAAGUCCCAGUGGGGACGUAGAGUCAUAAAGAAGAAGAAGAAGAAUUCCAGACAUUUCAGGAACAAAUCUUUAAGUAAUAUCUGAAAGAAAACAACAUCUAGAGGCAUGUUUUGAAGGAUUCCUGGAAAAAAUUCUACAAGGAACUUCCAAAAAAAAACCUUUGAAGUUUUCGUGAAAAUAUUCCUGUAGAAAUUUUUAAAGGAAUCUAUGAAACAUUUAAGGAACACAUUUUUUAGAGAAAUUUCAAAUUUCUACAGAAUUCUAGAGAAUUCCGAAGCAAUCUUUGAAGUAUCACUGAAUCCUUGAAGGGUUUUCUUAAGCAAUCCUUUGUAAAUGAAGAUAUUUCUGAAAAAAACUCAGAUCAGAAUCUUUUGAGAAAUUUCUAGAGGAAUCACUGGAAGAGGAAUUUCUGAAGAAGUUCAUAAAAGUUGUACUAAACAAAUUCUUAUAAAAAUCUAGAGCAUUUUUGAAGUAAAGUGUUGAAGAAAAAAUAUGAAGAAGUUCACGGAGGAACUGAAUCAAUCUAUACAAGAUUUUCUCGAAGAAUACUUCAAUUACUUUCAAAGAGUCCAUGUAAGAUUUUUUGAAAGGUAUUUCUUAAUGAUUUUCGGAAGAACGCAUCAAUAUCAGAUGGAAUCUAUAGAAGAUUUUAUCAAGGAGUUUUUGAAUAGAUUCUAGCGGGAGUUUUGAAAAAUUGUCUAAAGAAACCCUUAAGAAAUUUCUAAAGGAAUUCCCACAAUCCUGAAGAUUUUCCUGAUACAUUCAUCAAAACAAUGUUUGGAGAAAUUUCUAGAGCAACCCAUGGAAGACUUUCUAAAAUUGUCUCUCGAAAAAUUUUUGACGAAAGGCUUAGACUUUGGAGUUAUGUCCGGAGAAAUCCUUGGAGAAUAUUUCCGAAAAAAAAAGCAGCUGAAAAAUUUCCUCAAAGAAUCCCUGGCAGGUUUUCUGAAAGUAUCCAUGGAAGAAAAUAUUUAGAAAUCAUGGAGUAAGGUAAUUUGGCAAUUGUUGAACGGUUAGUACUGAUUUUUUUCAUUUGUUUUUCCGAACUUGAUUCCAAAAAUAUCCAGUGAACGUCUAGAUCCACUCGUAUCUUAUACUUCCCAUUGAAUUUGUUUCUCCAUAAUGGAAUUCAAUUGAGGGGCCCAGAUGCAAAGAGGUGUAAGUGACCAUUUUGUCGAUUUUGACCUGAGCAUAUCAUAAAAUUCUUCAGAUUGCAAGCUUUUGGGAACUUUUGUUAAGAUUGUUUGUACGAUUAUUGGAAAAAUUACAAUAAAUCGGAGAAAAUUAGGUAGAUUUUGUAACUUCGUACAUUUUGUAUGGGAUGAAUAAUUGGUAAAAAUGUUUAAACCUCAUUUACUCGAAGGUGGGGUUUUGUCACUUACACCCCUUUGCUUGUAAGAGAAAAUAAGCACAUUAGUAUCGAAAGUCUGGAACCCAUUUGUUGAACACUUUUUAAGCUAGCUCAUUCUAAUGUGGGACAGUUCUCGCUAAUUGUUGAACAGUUCAAGCUUUGAUCGUGAUUGGUGACGUGUAACCCGAUACAAACCUAUCUCUGACCUGUUUUAUUUUGGCCACCGAGCCCACCAUAGACCCAACAGUGGUCCAACAUUCGAUACAGUUUGACCCGACUUCCGAUUAGUUUUAAGUUUGGUGGAAUUUUCCCAUGUUUUUUUCGUAUUUUGUGCACAGCUAUUUAUUUUCAAACUAUUUCAGGGUUUGGUUUAAAUGGAUUUGGUUUCAGGUGAUAUCAUGGAUACGUCCCCCUGGUUUGCCUCUGAAACGUCAUGGACUCCAUGUAACAAACCCGAAACCACCCCCUGAGGCAUUUUACAGUCUUGGAACGCCCCUGAAAUCCGUUGAAAACUCGUGGAGCGCUUCUGCAAUCGCUUAAUCCUCUUGGAAGACCCCUGGAAUGCUUCUGAAAAACUCUGAAACCCCAAAGAACGCCCAUAAAACCCCCUGAGACACCCUGGAACGCCUUUGAGACCUCCUGCAACCCUCUGAAGCCCUCUGGAACGCCACUAGAACCCCCUUAAACACCUCAGGAACACUUUUAGGACCCCAUGAAAUUCCUUAAAAAGGCCCUGAAGCAAUCUAAGACCACCUAGAACAUUACUGAGACCCCUUGAAAUCCCGUUAAACACCCCUGGCAUCCCCUGAAAGCCCCUGAAGUUGUUUGAAAACUUCUAGAAUGCUCUUGAAACUCCCUGAAACACCCUUAAAUGUCUUUGAAAGCCCCUGAAAUACUCUUAGGUCACUUCAACCCCUGGAACCCCCCGGAACAUCCUGAAUCUUCUCUGGGACCUCUUGACCACUCUGAAUCCUUUUGGAACACUUUAGGAACGCCCUUGAAACCUCUUGGAAUAUUACUAAAGCCCUCUGGAAUACCUCUGGAACAUCGCUGGAACGCUGCUGAAACCCAUUGAAAUGCACGACCAGGAAAAGUGAAAAAAAAUCUGACGGUCAUGCUAACAAUUUAGGUUAUGGCAGUGUUAAAAAAAUGGAUCAUGAAUGCAGAAUUUCUAAAAGAAUUAGGGUCACCGUUCCCUUAGUGAUCUUACGCUCUUAAAUUUAUCCUAUUUGAAAACAAAGCGGCAAACUUGGAAAUCUACAUUUUGUUUUGUAGAUUUUUAUUAGGAAUCCCAUGCCAGGCCAGAUUGUUCUGUGAAAAAGAUUCUGAAAACUAAAUUUGUACUCCCGUCAGAAAUAAUCCCAAAAUUUCAGAAAUGUAUUGGGUCAUUUCUCUAGGAGUUCUUUCCAGAACGUUAUAAUAGUUAUCGAUAGUUUUGCAAUACCCAACAAAAACUAGAAAUACUAAAUGAUGACAAAAUAUGAUCUCAUUUUUCCAACACGCAUUUAAAGGUCUCCCAAAAUUGACUGUCAGGAGAACCUCAAACCUAAAAAUAGGCCCCAUGUGACUGCAGUACGAAAGCGUAACAUGCAAUGAAUCUCCCUCCCAUUGACUCCCAUAGGGGCUAUCGACUGCGACUGACAGUUCUCACUCACUGGACUAAGGUUCGAGACCAACCGUGGACGUGAAAACUGAAACGUGGAAUUUUACUUUCUGGAAUUCAAUACGACUAUGACUUCCAGAGUUCCAGAACACAGAUAAAGAUUCUAUUUGAGAUCUCAGGUUCAAAAUGGAAUUUGAUUUCCCAGGUGAGAAGCCACAUUUAAGUUGGGUUCUCAGAUUAGAGAUGGAAACCCAGAUUUCAGAUGAGACUCCUGAUUAUGGGUUCUUAUGGGAUGUUACAUUUUGAUGGAGGUAUCCUAGAUUUCAGAUGGAAUCUCAGUUUCCAGAUUAGAUCCUAGAUUCCAGAUUAGAUCCCCGAUAACAGCUUUCAUAUCUAGAUUUCAUGUGGAAUCUUCAGAUGGGUUCCCUAUUUGUGAAUGAGAUCCCAUAAUCAAGAUAGGAUUCAAGAUGGGGUCCUAGAUUAUAGAAGCGAUCUCAGACUGGAUUUCAUAUUCAGUUCCUAGAUUGCAAGAAUGCCAGAUUCUAGAUGGGAUCACCUGUUCCAGAAAGGAUUUCAGAAUCUAGAGGGAGUCUAAUUUCAGAAAGAAACUUCUCAUGGGAACCCAGAUUCAAGAAUCUAGGGGGGAUCCCAAUUUUCAGAUAAGAUCCCAGAUUGGGAAAUCAGAUUCGGAAUGAGACCCCAGAUUCCAGAUCCCACGUUUCAGAUGGGACCCCAGAGUCUAAAAUGCAUUCCCAGAAUAAGAUUUCUGAUGGAAUACAAAAUACCAGAUAGCAUUGUAGCCUUUGCUCCAUUUCCAUUAAAAAGCCGAAUAUAUUUUCAUUAACAGUUUCAAAUAUCAAUAUAAAAAUGACCUUCAAUCGAUACAUCAAUGCCACUACAGAUCAGUUAAUUACAUUGCGCCGAACAGUUAGGCAAUUUUCUCACUAUGGAAAGCUUUAAUCGGCCUUCAAUCGGCCGCGAAUGGGAUAUCCGAAGGUCAAGUACGUUUGGAAUUUCCGGAGAAAGUCGGGGAAGAAAAAGUUGCGACCGAGUCCAAAACUGAGCGAGCCUUCAACGUAAGCCGUUACACUGCCGAACCAUUUCGAAGAAGCUCGGGGGAAAUAUCGAACUUCCGUUAAGUUCGGUCGAUGGUACCUUCCCUUAUCUGAGGAUCACGGUUUCAUUUUACUUUCGUUCGAUCCACAGAUUAGUGUAGAAGUGUCGUUGUUAACCUUGUAGAAAUAGCCGUUGAAUUUCCUAGUUUUCAGUCCAGGUUAGGAAAGAAGUGCGUAGGGUUUGUGCGUUUACCUCGACAGAUUACCAGGUAAUGUGCUCUUUGUGCUCGUCUUAUGAACCCGUGCAUGUGCUAAUUGUACGUGAAUAGCCCACUGGCUAGAUUCUUCCACAGCGACGCUUCUCUGCCGAUCGACUCGGAACUUCCGGCGAACGAAUACCGCCGAAGGAGUGGUCGUCAAUUGCCACUUGCCAGGCCCGUCUUCAAGGUCGUUCAAGGUUGCGCAACAACAACCCCCACGUGACCCCCCCCCCCCCUACACGUGGUCCAGGGGUCGCUUGACCGUCCCCAUCGACGCGACACACCAGGAGCGCAGAAUCAGCAGGUCAGCGAAAACCACGUAGCUGCUCGGUGAGUCGUUUCCUUUUUUGCACCGUCUUUUUGUGGCGUGGGGCGUCCGGAGAGGACGCCUCGGAGAAGUUUUUUGCCGAUCAUAAGGUCGUGGAUAUUCUUGGACGUCUAGUCUGAAACAGCGUCCGGAAAUGUAAGGUUGGGUGGUUGCUUGGAUUUCAAAGCGUGCGCACGUAGUUUAUGGAAGCUCCACCCAACCCUAUUGUUUAAGUCACCCGGGUGCAUCAAGUCUCCAUAGCUAGCUUGCCGCAUCGUCAAGGGAGAAAAUAUCAAUGGAUCGUGUACACGAAUAGAGCACAAGAACAAGAUAGAAGGAUAGAUAGAAAAGAAACGCACAAGAGAGCAGGACUGAAACAGGUACACAUUGUAAAUGUAUAUUAUGGAACAAAUAGCAUGUGAGUAGAAUAAACUUUCGUUUUUGUUAUUUAUUGAAUAAACGUGUUUCGCCUCUUAAGUAUUAUUGUGUUAGUAAGUUAUACUACAGUCCUGCGAAAGAUUUUUAAAUUAUUGAAAUGUUGUCCCGUUACUUCGCGUAUUUGUAGUAGAUGUUAUUUGCGUGGCGCAAUUUGACUGUAGUCUUGCGCAUGCCCUUCUACGCUGGUAGCGCCUCUAGCGAGAAGUAGUGGAACCGCCAGUGAUGAUAAAUAGUUUG